rnacentral:rRNA from 1 species
AGCAGCCGCGGUAAUUCCAGCUCCAAUAGCGUAUAUUAAAGUUGUUGCAGUUAAAAAGCUCGUAGUUGAAUUUCGGGAUUGGCGCAUCGGUCGUGCCUCACGGGGUAUGAACUGGUGCAGUCAAUUUCUCACCUUCUGGAGAACCGCGAUGUCCUUAAUUGGAUGCCGCGGGGAACCAGGACCUUUACUUUGAAAAAAUUAGAGUGUUUAAAGCAGGCAUUUUUGCUUGAAUACAUUAGCAUGGAAUAAUAAAAUAGGACGGCAUGGUUCUAUUUUGUUGGUUUCUAGGACCACCGUAAUGAUUAAUAGGGAUAGUUGGGGGCAUUAGUAUUCAAUUGUCAGAGGUGAAAUUCUUGGAUUUAUUGAAGACUAACUACUGCGAAAGCAUUUGCCAAGGAUGUUUUCAUUAACCAAGAACGAAAGUUAGGGGAUCGAAGACGAUCAGAUACC